ensembl:snoRNA SNORD83 Small nucleolar RNA SNORD83
GCCAUAUGAUGUUUAUAUUUUCGAAAAUGAGCACUCUGCUCAGUGCUGACCUUUAUCUAUCACCCUUGACUGAGGCA